rnacentral:lncRNA from 1 species
UCAGGAUGUCGGGUCCCAUUGCUAGAUGGUUACAUCGAUUAGUAUAAAAAUUUAUUUCUAUGCUAUCAACUUAGGUACGAACCUAUGAGGUCACACACAUUAGAAGUUUCAGUCUAAUCAGAUGGCUGAUCUGGUGAAGAGUCCCACUAGAUUGGGACUCUAGUGAAGAGUUCCACUGGAUUAAAACUUUGAAGAAGAGUCUCAUUGGACUGAAACUCUACUAUUAAUGGAGGAUUUAUUAGUAAUUAAAUUGCUAAUUGAUUCAAUUUGAUUGAGCAAUGAGAUUUGAAUCAAGUCUAAUUGAAUUGGAUUCAGUUUGACUUGGAUUGGUUUGAUUAGAUCAAGUCUAAUUGUAAGGGAAACUUGUUCCUAAUUUAAUCAAGACUUGGAUUCAGUUAAUUUCUAAUUGGGUCAGAAAUUUAAUGAGGAGAUUAUGUUCCUAAUUAGAUUAGGUUCCUUCCAUUCAUUGGAUCCAAACCAAAUCAAAUUUGAAUUGAUCCAAAAUUGAAAAACUGAAGAGUCUCAAUCAACGGGGAUUCUCUCCCUUGCAUAUGCCCUAGAAUUC